ACAUGCCUACAACAUAGCUGUAAUGCACCAAAUCCCAUUAGAACUUCGUAGUUAAGCGCACUCAAGCUAGAGUAGUACUGGGAUGGGUGAUCGCUCGAGAAGUCCUAGUGUUUUACAUGCC
rnacentral:rRNA from 1 species